rnacentral:rRNA from 1 species
GACGGGGGGGGCAAGUGUUCUUCGGAAUGACUGGGCGUAAAGGGCACGUAGGCGGUGAAUCGGGUUGAAAGUGAAAGUCGCCAAAAAGUGGCGGAAUGCUCUCGAAACCAAUUCACUUGAGUGAGACAGAGGAGAGUGGAAUUUCGUGUGUAGGGGUGAAAUCCGUAAAUAUACGAAGGAACGCCAAAAGCGAAGGCGGAUCUCUGGGCCUUACCUGACGCUCAGGCGCGAAAGCUAGGGGAGCGAACUGG